GGUUUCAUAGUGUAGAGGUUAUCACGUCUGUUUCACACACAGAAGGUCCUGGGUUCGAACCCCGGUGAAACCA